GGAGGGCAAGUCUGGUGCCAGCAGCCGCGGUAAUUCCAGCUCCAAUAGCGUAUAUUAAAGUUGUUGCAGUUAAAAAGCUCGUAGUUGAAUUUCGGGGUUCUUCCGUUGGUCAGGCUAACCAGUCUGUACUAGCGUGUAGAAUCUCUACCUUCUGGGGAACCAUCAUGUUAUUAAUUUAGCGUGGUGGGAAACCAGGACCUUUACCUUGAAAAAAUUAGAGUGUUCAAAGCAGGCUUACGUCUGAAUACAUUAGCAUGGAAUAAUAAAAUAGGACGGUGGUCCUGUUUUGUUGGUUUCUGAAUCACCGUAAUGAUUAAUAGGGAUAGUUGGGGGCAUUAGUAUUCAAUUGUCAGAGGUGAAAUUCUUGGAUUUAUUGAAGACUAACUUCUGCGAAAGCAUUUGCCAAGGAUGUUUUCAUUAAUCAAGAACGAAAGUUAGGGGAUCGAAGAUGAUCAGAUACCGUCGUAGUCUUAACCAUAAACUAUGCCGACUAGGGAUCGGACGAUGUUAAAUUUUAUUGACUCGUUCGGCGCCUUACGGGAAAC
rnacentral:rRNA from 1 species